UAGGGAAUCUUGCGCAAUGGGCGAAAGCCUGACGCAGCCAUGCCGCGUGAAUGAUGAAGGUCUUAGGAUUGUAAAAUUCUUUCACCGGGGAAGAUAAUGACGGUACCCGGAGAAGAAGCCCCGGCUAACUUCGUGCCAGCAGCCGCGGUAAUACGAAGGGGGCUAGCGUUGCUCGGAAUUACUGGGCGUAAAGGGCGCGUAGGCGGAUAUUUAAGUUGGGGGUGAAAGCCCGGGGCUCAACCUCGGAAUAGCCUUCAAUACUGGAUAUCUUGAGUUCGGGAGAGGUGAGUGGAAUGCCGAGUGUAGAGGUGAAAUUCGUAGAUAUUCGGCGGAACACCAGUGGCGAAGGCGACUCACUGGCCCGAUACUGACGCUGAGGCGCGAAAGCGUGGGGAGCAAACAGGAUUAGAUACCCUGGUAGUCCACGCCGUAAAACGAUGAGUGCUAGUUGUCGGCAUGCAUGCAUGUCGGUGACGCAGCUAACGCAUUAAGCACUCCGCCUGGGGAGUACGGUCGCAAGAUUAAAAACUCAAAGGAAUUGACGGGGGUCAUAGCUGUUCCUG
rnacentral:rRNA from 1 species